GUGAAUCAUCAAAUCUUUGAACGCAAAUUGCACUCUUUUCGGAGAGUAUGCCUGUUUGAGGGUCAGUAUUAAUAAAAUCGGUGCUGCUUUUUGUGACGUUCCGGGGAUUGGGCUAACUUUAACUUUCGGGGUUAAGGGGCUUUAAAUUGAUCUUUUUUGCGCACUUUUAGACGUACAUAAAUUUUUUUAUCGUCUAUUCUGGUUGCCAAUUACUUUUUAGGUUCGAACAUAUAA
rnacentral:misc_RNA from 1 species